ACUGGCCCUGCGCCCAGGCACCGCCUGCGCUGCGCCGCGCGGCCUCACUCCGCGGCCCGCCAGGACCCGGCCCCGGUGAACGGGCUCGGGGUGCCGAGGUCCGGCUGCGGGGCCGGGAAGCCACCUCCACCUUGCCGUCUGUUACGACCCCCGAGGCGCAAGGCUGAGCCCCAUCUCGCUAUCCGGGUCCGGAGGGGUUCACCUUAGAAGGAUUUUUUGAAGCUCUUGGCGCUGGCUCUAAAAGAACCCACUUCCUUGCGGAUUUCAGGAGUCAAGAAUCCUUAAACGGAGCCAAUUUGCUUUGUAAAGCCAAUUGCCCAAGUGACUUGAGUUCGAAAGGAGAUACUUCCUGGACAACUGCUAUAAAAACAACAACAAAUACUUUUAUUAAUUCGGGGAGCCUGGUCACCAACUGGAUGCUCAGGGGAGACGGAACCCUGAGCAGCCCAUGUACAUGGAAGAUCUUUAUUGCAGAGAUCUUUAAACCAGGUAAGCCCUGCCAGCUUUUGUCCCUCCACUCCUUCCUCCAAUCCAGAGUUCCUUGCUGCCAAAGGAAGAAUUUGUGGGAAGAGGAAACUCUUCUCUCUCAUUGCU
rnacentral:antisense_RNA from 1 species